rnacentral:rRNA from 1 species
CCUACGGGAGGCAGCAGUGGGGAAUAUUGCACAAUGGGGGAAACUCUGAAGCAGCGACGCCGCGUGCGGGAAGAAGUCUUUAGGUACGUAAAGCUCUAUCAGCACGGAGGAAAAUGACGGUACCUGACUAAGAAGCCCAGGCUAACUACGGGCAAGCAGCCGCGGUAAUACGUAGGGGGCAAGCGUUAUCCGGAUUUACUGGGUGUAAAGGGAGCGUAGGCGGCAGCGCAAGUCUGGAGUGAAAUCCCAUGGCUUAACCAUGGAACUGCUUGGGAAACUGUGCAGCUAGAGUGCAGGAGAGGUAAGCGGAAUUCAUAGUGUAGCGGUGAAAUGCGUAGAUAUUAGGAGGAACACCAGUGGCGAAGGCGGCUUACUGGACUGUAACUGACGUUGAGGCACGAAAGCGUGGGGAGCAAACAGGAUUAGAUACCCCAGUAGUC